rnacentral:lncRNA from 1 species
CGCCGCGGCUCCCGGCGCCGGGCCGUGCCGUGCCCUGCCGCCCCGGGCUGCGGCGGGAGCAGCUCCUGAAGCUCCGCUCUUGAACUUUUCCUACYCAGCGACUUGACGGGCUGCUCUCGCUGUCCUGUUGGCGUCUACAAGGAGAAAAUCUGGCAGGGGCUGCCUUCCCAGCAGUCCCCGAUCUGCUCCAAACAUGCUUAGAGGCAGCCUCUCUCGGAGGGAGGGGUGCGCUACAUUCGCAGUCAAAUUACAUGGCUGGCCUCUAAAGGCACUAGCUUCGGAUUUCCAAACUAAUACUCAUCUUUUAAAAGCCGAGCCAAAAAGAAAAUGCAAGGAAGGCCUCAGAUGCGGGAGACCUCGGGGGAACUCUGUAAGAGGUUCAGUGCUGGACACCACACCGUCGCAGG